GCACUGAUCAGUCGAGUUCUCCACCUGUCCAAAACAAAGCCACUAUGUUACUAUAUGUAAAUAUGCAGUCAUUUAUCAUGUAAAAUCAAUGCUACUUUACAUACCUGUAUCCUAGUGGAUCAGCCUGAUUAGGCAUACGCCACCAAAUGGAUCCUCAAAACCAGCAUGAUCCACGUCUAAAGGAACAUAUCAUGCUACAUCACCUCCCACUGCCGACUGAUGGGCUCCUACUCUGGGAAGCACCCGAUCUGACCGUCCAACAUGUAAAUACUCCCAGACCCAAAGUUGAAGCAACACCAAUGGCCCAUUUACUCAAAUUAUCAAGUUGAUAUGUUUUCAGAUAUUGGAAGCAAUUGGAUCAUGUUCUCUCAAUAUAUUGCAUGCUUCAAUCAAACUUUCAAGGUUGAUUUUUUUUACAGUUUGAUGAAAAUAAGC
rnacentral:lncRNA from 1 species